rnacentral:rRNA from 1 species
AUUGAACGCUGGCGGCAGGCUUAACACAUGCAAGUCGAGCGGGGUGAUGGUGCUUGCACUAUCACUUAGCGGCGGACGGGUGAGUAAUGCUUAGGAAUCUGCCUAUUAGUGGGGGACAACAUCUCGAAAGGGAUGCUAAUACCGCAUACGUCCUACGGGAGAAAGCAGGGGAUCACUUGUGACCUUGCGCUAAUAGAUGAGCCUAAGUCGGAUUAGCUAGUUGGUGGGGUAAAGGCCUACCAAGGCGACGAUCUGUAGCGGGUCUGAGAAGAUGACCCGCCACACUGGGACUGAGACACGGCCCAGACUCCUACGGGAGGUAGCAGUGGGGAAUAUUGGACAAUGGGGGGAACCCUGAUCCAGCCAUGCCGCGUGUGUGAAGAAGGCCUUAUGGUUGUAAAGCACUUUAAGCGAGGAGGAGGCUCUUUUGGUUAAUACCCAAGAUGAGCGGACGUUACUCGCAGAAUAAGCACCGGCUAACUCUGUGCCAGCCGCCGCGGUAA